UUGUCAUUUACUGGCAGGAAAUGCCUUUCCCAUCAGGCAUUUUUACUGUUAAACGCUGGGAAAGCAUAAAAUAUAAAGAAUGAAGAGAAAAGGAUAAUCUCUGCUAAACUCACACUGCAGCAAACAGAAACUGCAGUAAAGGUAGAACCAGGAUUGGACCCCAGGCACUGGUAGUGGGACUACAGAGACCAGAACUGGAGGUUGCUCGUUGUAGUAGCAGCUGCCAUUCAAAACCACCUAAACACAGCACACCAUAGACCUCCUAGCAAGUAAGAAGAAGGGAAGCUGAAGAUGCAGAACGAAGGUCACGGUCCCUAGGUCAUACAGCAUGGAAACCACUGCAGAGAAAACAGAAAGGCUCCAAGUCUUGGUCAGCUCUUCUGGCAAGUGUCUGGGUGGCAUUGUCAGCACAAGAUGCCACGGCAACCCUUUCUUCCUUCUGCCUUCUUCAGAUACGUACAACUACUUUGUGACCAGUUCUGCUAUUCAUUCACUCUAAAAAUCAGUGAUGAUAAUCAGAGCACUGUUAGUGCCUGGUCAUGGCAGAGUUUUGAGAGAAAUUAAAAUACAGGAUGUGUUCGGGAGUUUCUCCCAAAUCCUUUGAAUCCUCCUGGAAAAUAAUCUUCCUACCAACAGUUCUGCUGCCAGCAUAUGCUUUCUGCAUUUCACUCUCUUUCCCACUUGUACUACUGUGAACUGUAUACUGACUGUGACACUGUACAGGAAAGUGAUGAACUAUUUUCAGUUUUAGUACCCUAUGGACUCGUAGUUCAUUUGUGUUGGUAUUUCAGAAUCAGACUUCUACCUUCACAGGCCAGUCCUGGGAGAAGUCAAGCGUACUCUGCUCUUAGGAAACCUGCGGAGCCGUGUGUGCUCAGCACACAACUAAGGCUGAACGAUACCCAGCCUUAGCAAACAACCAGCUGAACAGCAAAUGCCCAAAUCAUUCCAAAAAGGAAACCAAAACAGGCAGGAAAAAGAUGGUAACUGUUUCUCCAGCUAUUCUAACAAAUUAUCAGGAAGCCAUCACUUCUGAAAACAGCACCUAACUCUUGAAACUAAGCACUAACAUUUUCAUUCAUUCUUACAGUUUCUUUCUUUCUCCUGGCUUAUACAUUUCCCAAAUACUUCUCCUAGCAUUUAUUCAGAAUGCACUCAUUGUCAUUCUCUGAACCAUUAUCACCAGCUUUCUGACACGUCUUUCUUAGGAAGGAAGAUUUCAUCAUGGUAACAGUACCCGGCUUUGCCUUAUUCUUACUGUUUUCCUUCUUUCGUGUUAUUCAUGUACACAAGGUCCAAAAUAUUUGCAAUAUGAUCUCAUACUUUUUGUUGCUGUUUCAUUUUGAUCCUGUUUUCCUGCCUGGAAGGAUGUGUGUCACUUGCGUUUUGAAACCAGCUCUGGUAAAUACAGCCACUUCUUGAAAAGAUCACUGCUUUCAUGUGAGCACGACCUUUCCAUAAAUAUACAAGUGGGAAGAAAACCA